rnacentral:rRNA from 1 species
UGGGGAAUAUUGGACAAUGGACCAAGAGUCUGAUCCAGCAAUUCUGUGUGCACGAUGAAGUUUUUCGGAAUGUAAAGUGCUUUCAGUUGGGAAGAAAAAAAUGACGGUACCAACAGAAGAAGUGACGGCUAAAUACGUGCCAGCAGCCGCGGUAAUACGUAUGUCACAAGCGUUAUCCGGAUUUAUUGGGCGUAAAGCGCGUCUAGGUGGUUAUGUAAGUCUGAUGUGAAAAUGCAGGGCUCAACUCUGUAUUGCGUUGGAAACUGUAUAACUAGAGUACUGGAGAGGUAAGCGGAACUACAAGUGUAGAGGUGAAAUUCGUAGAUAUUUGUAGGAAUGCCGAUGGGGAAGCCAGCUUACUGGACAGAUACUGACGCUGAAGCGCGAAAGCGUGGGUAGCAAACAGG